UAUUGCUACUUUUCAUUAUCGAAUGGGCUUAAAUACAAAUUUAAAGCUCAAUAAAAAUUGAACAGGAUGACUCACUUUCAUAAAACACACUGUAAAGUGUUCAUCUAGGUGUCAGCUAUAAUGCACACCUUUUAUAUUUUUCAUAAUUAUUCAAAUAGACUGUAAAUCAUGUGUAAAAUAUUGCUACUUUUCAUUACCGAAUGGGCUUAAAUACAAAUUUAAAGCUCAAUAAAAAUUGAACAGGAUGACUCACUUUCAUAAAACAUACUGUAAAGUGUUCAACUAGGUGUCAACUAUAAUCCACACCAUUCAGAUUUUUCAUAAUUAUUCAAAUAAACUGUUAAUCAUAUGUAAAAUAUAGCUAUUUUUCAUUACCGAAUGGGCUCAAAUGUAAAAUAUGCCAUAAUUUAAAGCUCAAUAGAAUUUGAACCGAAUGACUCACAUUCAUAAAACAUACUGUAAGGUGUUCAUUUAGGUGUCAACUAUAAGCCACACCAUUCAGAUUUUUCAUAAUUAUUCAAAUAAACUGUUAAUCAUAUGUAAACAAUUGCUAUUUUUCAUUACCGAAUGGGCUCAAAUGUAAAAUAUGCCAUAAUUUGAACCUCAAUAGAAUUUGAACAGAAUGACUCACAUUCAUAAAACAUACUGUAAAGUGUUCAUCUAGGUGUCAGCUAUAAUGCACACCUUUUAUAUUUUUCAUAAUUAUUCAAAUACACUGUAAAUCAAAUUGUAAAAUAUUGCUACUUUUCAUUACCGAAUGGGCUUAAAUACAAAUUUAAAGCUCAAUAAAAAUUGAACAGGAUGACUCACUUUCAUAAAACAUACUGUAAAGUGUUCAUCUAGGUGUCAGCUAUAAUGCACACCUUUUAUAUUUUUCAUAAUUAUUCAAAUACACUGUAAAUCAUUUGUAAAAUAUUGUUAUUUUUCAUUACCGAAUGGGCUCAAAUGUAAAAUAUGCCAUAACUUGAAGCUCAAUAGAAUUUGAACAGAAUGACUCACAUUCAUAAAACAUACUGUAAGGUGUUCAUUUAGGUGUCAACUAUAAUCCACACCAUUCAGAUUUUUCAUAAUUAUUCAAAUAAACUGUUAAUCAUAUGUAAAAUAUUGCUAUUUUUCAUUACCGAAUGGGCUCAAAUGUAAAAUAUGCCAUAAUUUGAACCUCAAUAGAAUUUGAACAGAAUGACUCACUUUCAUAAAACAUGCUGUAAAGUGUUCAUCUAGGUGUCAGCUAUAAUGCACACCUUUUAUAUUUUUCAUAAUUAUUCAAAUAGACUGUAAAUCAUUUGUAAAAUAUUGUUAUUUUUCAUUACCGAAUGGGCUCAAAUGUAAAAUAUGCCAUAAUUUGAAGCUCAAUAGAAUUUGAACAGAAUGAUUCACUUUCAUAAAACAUACUGUAAAGUGUUCAUCUAGGUGUCAGCUAUAAUGCACACCUUUUAUAUUUUUCAUAAUUAUUCAAAUAGACUGUAAAUCAUGUGUAAAAUAUUGCUACUUUUCAUUACCGAAUGGGCUUAAAUACAAAUUUAAAGCUCAAUAAAAAUUGAACAGGAUGACUCACUUUCAUAAAACACACUGUAAAGUGUUCAUCUAGGUGUCAGCUAUAAUGCACACCUUUUAUAUUUUUCAUAAUUAUUCAAAUAAACUGUUAAUCAUAUGUAAAAUAUAGCUAUUUUUCAUUACCGAAUGGGCUCAAAUGUAAAAUAUGCCAUAAUUUAAAGCUCAAUAGAAUUUGAACCGAAUGACUCACAUUCAUAAAACAUACUGUAAGGUGUUCAUUUAGGUGUCAACUAUAAGCCACACCAUUCAGAUUUUUCAUAAUUAUUCAAAUAAACUGUUAAUCAUAUGUAAAAUAUUGCUAUUUUUCAUUACCAAAUGGGCUCAAAUGUAAAAUAUGCCAUAAUUUGAACCUCAAUAGAAUUUGAACAGAAUGACUCACAUUCAUAAAACAUACUGUAAAGUGUUCAUCUAGGUGUCAGCUAUAAUGCACACCUUUUAUAUUUUUCAUAAUUAUUCAAAUACACUGUAAAUCAUGUGUAAAAUAUUGCUACUUUUCAUUACCGAAUGGGCUUAAAUACAAAUUUAAAGCUCAAUAAAAAUUGAACAGGAUGACUCACUUUCAUAAAACAUACUGUAAAGUGUUCAUCUAGGUGUCAGCUAUAAUGCACACCUUUUAUAUUUUUCAUAAUUAUUCAAAUACACUGUAAAUCAUUUGUAAAAUAUUGUUAUUUUUCAUUACCGAAUGGGCUCAAAUGUAAAAUAUGCCAUAACUUGAAGCUCAAUAGAAUUUGAACAGAAUGACUCACAUUCAUAAAACAUACUGUAAAGUGUUCAACUAGGUGUCAACUAUAAUCCACACCAUUCAGAUUUUUCAUAAUUAUUCAAAUAAACUGUUAAUCAUAUGUAAAAUAUUGCUAUUUUUCAUUACCGAAUGGGCUCAAAUGUAAAAUAUGCCAUAAUUUGAACCUCAAUAGAAUUUGAACAGAAUGACUCACAUUCAUAAAACAUACUGUAAAGUGUUCAUCUAGGUGUCAGCUAUAAUGCACACCUUUUAUAUUUUUCAGAAUUAUUCAAAUAGACUGUAAAUUAUGUGUAAAAUAUUGCUAUUUUUCAUUACCGAAUGGGCUUAAAUACAAAUGUAAAGCUCAAUAAAAAUUUAACAGAAUGACUCACAUUCAUAAAACAUACUGUAAAGUUUUCAACUAGGUGUCAACUAUAAUCCACACCAUUCAGAUUUUUCAUAAUUAUUCAAAUAAACUGUUAAUCAUAUGUAAAAUAUUGCUAUUUUUCAUUACCGAAUGGGCUCAAAUGUAAAAUAUACCAUAAUUUGAACCUCAAUAGAA